AGUCUUUACAGAGGAGCAAAAGGCAGAGAGGAGAUUCCCCAUAGUCGGAGAAAACUGGACUAAAGAAGAAUCACUCUACGUAAGCGAAUCUGUGGUCUUCUCUCUCACUCAGAGACCUCAGGGGAGCAUGAGAAAUGAGUCAGUCUCUCUGAGGACCCACCAAGCUGCCAGAGCUAAACAAGAGUCUUGUUUGAACUCUGAAGGGGAGAAGGGACAGAAGGCAUGGAUGAGAACACAGCUGCAGUUGACUUCCGUGAAACCAUCUGGAGAGCAUGGCCCAAGAAAGAGAAAAGGGCACGGGGACCAAAUUAAGAAUGUUCUUAGUUAAUUUUCUAAAGAAUGAGUCCACUGAAAAACCACCCACUCCUGGGUUCCUGAUAAUGCAAACUUCAUUCAUUUGUUUAUUCAUUCAACAAAUGGAGUAGCUCCGACCAAUAUUAUGGAUUGGCUUGGAAAAUACCUCUGGCUUCUUGGCAGAGAAUCAAGCAAGAAACUUACAUGUGAUUUUGGUCUAUUCUAAAUAACUUCUCUAGGUUACAUACUUACACGCUGAUGGUUCACACAUAAGGAGGACAAAAGGAAUGCUACCAAAACAAAAAUCACCCCUCAAAAUUAUUUAAAAGGCAGAAGAUUUUAAAUUGAAGAAAUAUCUUUAGCAUCAAGUCAGGGUAUGAAUGUACCAGAAAGGCUUUGUUUUAGCAAAUUUACUUCCCAAAGGGCAGAAUAAUAUAUAUGAAAUGAAAAAUGCACAGGCCUUUUGUUCUUUAAUGACCUUGGGGGAAUAUUCUAAUUUAUCAGGAAUCUGCCAAGAAAACAGUUUACCUCUUCAGUUGUCUCAUUUUGUGUUUCUGAAUUUUUUUUUUUUUUUUUUUUUUAGCCAGGGUCUCAAUCUGUUGUCCAGGAUGGAGUGCAGUGGUGCAAUCAUGGCUCACUGUAGCCUCGACCUCCUGGGAUCAAGUGAUCCUCCCACUAUCAGCCUCCUGAGUUGCUGGGACUACAGCUAUGUGCCACCAUACCCAGCAAAUUUUUGUAUUUUUUGUAGAGACGAGGUCUCACCAUGUUGCCCAGGCUGGUCUUGAACUCCUGAGCUCAAGUAAUUUGCCCAUUUCAGCCUCUCAAAGUCUGGGAUUAUAGGUGUGAGCCACUGUGCCCUGCCCAUGUUUCUGAAUUUUUAAUACAUUUUAUUAAUUCUUGCUGAUCUGUGAAACACUAAGAAAAGUAAAUUGUUUUAUAAUUUUGUCUCUUAAUAUCCUCCAAAAAAUUAAUUCUAUUGCUUUUUCUUUGCAUACUUCUUGGAUACUAUUUUCCUCCCUUUGUGUCAGUGACUUAUCACAGGAAGAAAAAAAAAAUGUUCCCCAUCCAUUCCUUACUUGGUAUCUAUAGGGCUGUAAGCGAAGACAUUGGCUUUAUCUACAAACUGCUGCAGUCAGAUUGUUAUGGAAAUAGGAAUUAAUUAUUGUAGAAGCAGUAUAAUGAUCUUCUUUGGAAUCAGAGAAUUAAAACCAGGAUUCAAAGCAAUACCCGUAAGGGAAAGUGGUUGGGGUUUAUAUCGGAAUCAUGGGGGUAUAUUAUAUUAAGGUUAAAGAGGGAGGAUGAGAUGGAAAGACAGAAAAUCUCGCCACAGCAUGUGGAAGUUUCUCCUUAGGAGAGCCUUGUGGCUCAUUGUGCCUGUCAAGUAGGCUAAUGUGCCUGUAAAUUUCCUCUGACAGAAAACACAUCACAGCAGCAGCACCAGAAAACAACACAACCAAACUGUGGAAGACUGAAAACCCAGUGCUUUCAAGGGUGAUCAGAAUAUGCCAGAGUAAAAAACAAAAACAAAAACCAAAAAAAAAGCAAGGCAUUGAAAAUAAACAAAAGCUAGGGAGAAAUGAGAUCACCUUCCAAGAAAUAAGCAUUUAUCAUUCAUUCAUAGGCGAAAGGAAAUGCUUCUCCCACAGUCAUUUUUUAAUGUAUUAUUGGGCAGUCUCAGUUCAAGGUCAAAAAUGUCAGAGGGCAAAAGGAAUAGGACUCAAGAUUUAAUGCUGUAUUUAUCAUAACUGGCUUUGUAAUUGCAUAAAUAUUAAAUAUGUAGAACUAAUUGCAAGCACAUUAUCUCCAUAUCUCCACACAUUGCUUUAAUUUUUAAUGUAAUCUUUUAUCUGCCUUUUCCUCAGCUGGCUGUGGGUUUGUAAUUUGCAUAGCUAGAAUGAUCCGGUGCCAUCAAUUUAGUAAUGAAGUCACUCAUUGAGCAGAAGAGUUUUCUAAAGAUUAUACAAAGCUGUAGGAAAGAAAAGAACAGAAAUGAAAUUUUAUGUUUCAAAUAAAUGGGAAGUUUAUUUUAGAACAUAUUUUCCAUUGUAAAUUUAAUGCAACCACUUCAUAACAAAUUUGGAAAACAGAGAAGAUUGGGAAAAAGCACCCAUAUUUCAUCAUCCUAACUUAUCAGUGUUUUGUGGUCUUUUAUACCUAGGCACAUAUAUUUUUAACAUCGAUGUAAUCAUAAUUAUGUGUGUGUAUAUGUGUGUAAUUU
rnacentral:lncRNA from 10 species